rnacentral:rRNA from 1 species
UACGUAGGGUGCAAGCGUUGUCCGGAAUUAUUGGGCGUAAAGAGCUCGUAGGCGGUCUGUCACGUCGGCUGUGAAAUCCCGAGGCUCAACCUCGGGUCUGCAGUCGAUACGGGCAAACUAGAGUAUUGCAGGGGAGACUGGAAUUCCUGGUGUAGCGGUGAAAUGCGUAGAUAUCUGGAGGAAUACCGGUGGCGAAGGCGGCAUCCUGGACCGACAUUGACGCUGAGGAGCGAAAGCUAGGGGAGCAAACGGG